AAACUGGGAAAUAAAGGAUCAUUUCCUGGGUCACCUCUAACCCUAACCGGCCAUGGGGAAGAAGGCCCCCCCUCUUGCCGCCUCCGCCGCCGGCACCUCCGUCCCUGAGGCGCCGGUCUUCCACCCUACUGAGGAGGAGUUCGCCGACCCCCUCGCCUACGUUGCCCGUAUCCGCCCUCUCGCCGAGCCCUACGGCAUCUGCCGCAUCGUCCCGCCGACCUCAUGGUCGCCGCCUCACGCCCUCGACUUCACCUCUCUCUCCUUCCCCACCAAGAGGCAGCCCAUCCACCGCCUCCUCGCCCGCCCCGCCCCCGCUGACCCCGACACGUUCCUCCUCGACUAUCGCCGCUUCCUCAAGGCUUCCUCCGCACAUCGCCGGGGCCGCAGGAAGGGUCUUCCCAAGUCGCCUGCUCUCUCAGAUGGUCGCCCGGUCGAUCUCUGCCGCCUGUUCCAUGCUGUCAAGCGCUUCGGCGGCUACGACGGUGCCUGCGAGGGGAAGCGCUGGGGCGACGUGGUCCGCCUCGUUGACGACAAGGCACCCACGCAAAUCUCCGAGUGUGCCAAGCUUGUGCUUGCGCAGCUAUAUUACGAGCAUCUCUAUGACUACGAGAAGUUCACCAACAGAUUGGUGUCACAGGAAUUGGAUGGGAGAAAGGGGAAGCAGCCAGGUGCGGAAUCUGAUGAUCAGCCGGCGGUUUCUGGUUCGCAGGAUGAGGAGACGAACAAUUCUGAUACUGGGGAGCUGGUUGAGGAGUUUUCAGGUGUUAGGAACCGGAGAAGGAGAAAUUCGUUCUGCAAGAAAGCAGGCGAAGGUACAUCUCGUGGUCGUUAUGGAAAUGAUUGUAACAUCACUGGAAAUAGUUCAGCAGCUGCUGGUGCUCAGAAGCGGAAGAGGAGGAAAUUUGAUGCUGCGGUUGAUGAGGUGUCUACUGGUGUUCGGAAGCAGAAAAUGAGAAAGUCUGAUGCUGGGCCUACUGUGUUUGAUGAGGCAGCGGAUCAGAUCUGCGAGCAGUGUAGUAGCGGGUUACAUGGGGAUGUCAUGCUCCUAUGCGAUCGCUGCGAUAAAGGCUGGCAUUUGUAUUGUCUGUCACCACCGCUCGAGAGAGUGCCACGAGGGAACUGGUAUUGCUCAGACUGCCUGAACUCUGAUAGCGAUUGUUUCGGAUUUAUCCAUAGGAGGAAGCCCUGCUUGCUUGAGACUUUCCGGCGGUUUGACGAGAGGUUGAGAAAGAGAUGGUUCGGGCCGAGGAAUCCCAGCCGUGUUCAAGUUGAGAAGCAGUUUUGGGAGAUUGUGGAAGGGAAGGCGGGGGAACUAGAGGUUAUGUAUGGGAGCGACUUGGACACUUCAAUUUAUGGGAGCGGGUUUCCUCAUCCCAGUGAUCCAGUGCCAUCAUCUGUGGACCUAGAGACAUGGCAGAAGUAUUGUUUGAGCCCGUGGAAUCUGAACAAUUUUCCAAAUCUGCCUGGCUCAGUUCUUAGGACAGUCAGGGAUAAAAUUGCUGGUGUAAUGGUCCCGUGGCUCUACAUUGGGAUGCUAUUUUCAUCAUUUUGUUGGCAUGUUGAGGACCACUGUUUCUAUUCAAUAAAUUAUCUACAUUGGGGUGAGCCAAAAUGUUGGUAUGGGGUACCUGGAGCAGAAGCAAAUGCCUUUGAGCAGGUUAUGCGCCAAGUCUUACCUGAUCUAUUUGAUGCACAACCUGACCUGCUUUUUCACCUUGUCACAAUGCUGAAUCCAUCUAUUUUACGAGCAAAUGGCGUUCCAGUUUAUAGCGUGAUGCAGGAACCUGGCAACUUUGUCGUUACUUUUCCUAGGUCAUUCCACGGUGGCUUCAAUUUAGGUUUGAAUUGCGCUGAGGCUGUAAAUUUUGCUCCUGCCGAUUGGUUGCCUCAUGGUGGAAUUGGGGCUGAUCUGUAUCGCUUAUACCGUAAAGCACCUGUUUUAUCACAUGAAGAGCUUCUGUACGUGGUUGCAAAGAAUGGUGUGGAUGCUGAGUCGCUUCCCCACUUGAAGGGAGAAAUAGAAAGGCUUUUUAUAAAUGAGAGAAGACGGCGAGAGGAGCUAUGGAUUAAUGGGAUCGUCAAAUCUUGUCCAAUGUUGCCAAGGAGUAACCCAAACUUUAUUGGGAGUGAAGAGGACCCUACAUGCAUCAUUUGUCGACAGUAUCUGUAUCUUUCAGCAGUCUCCUGUAACUGUAGAUCAUCUUAUGUUUGCCUUGAGCACUGGAAGCACCUUUGUGAAUGCAGUCCGGAGAAGCAUUGCUUACUUUAUCGGCACACCCUUGCAGACUUGGGUGAUUUAGUUUGCGAUAUCUCUUUGGCUAGCCUUCCAGGGGACAAUGUUAAGCAGAAUCCACACUUGCUCAAUGACGUUUGUGUGCCGUCUAAAAAGGUCAAAGAUCGCUAUGUAUCAUAUGCACAGCUUGCAGAAGAUUGGAUUUCGAAAUCUGAACAUAUUCUCCAGGUGCCAUUCCUGGAUAGGUCUUAUGCCAUUGCCUUAGAAGAAGCUGAGCAAUUUCUUUGGGGUGACCAUGGCAUGGAUUCUGUACGGAAUGUAACACUAAGACUAAAAGAAGCUAUGAAAUGGGCCUUGGGUGUUAGAAAAUGUCUUUCCAAAAUUGAGAACUUUCUGAAAGGCAGCUGCUCUGAAAAGGCUUAUGUGGAUAAAGGAAAAAUGUUGAUGAAUGAAGUGAACAUUGCACUAUCAUCUCGCUUAACGGUUGACAAAUUGGAAACAUUGUACUCUAAGAUUUCAGAAUUCCCGGUUAAGCUAACAGAAUCUUCGACCUUGUUUCGGGAGAUAUCUUCUGCAAAGUCCUGGUUGAAGAAAGCAAGUGAUUGCCUUGAACAAAAUAAACUGGGCACCAUAGACGUAGAUGUCCUCAAUAGACUAAAAUUAGAGACAGUACAACUUCGAGUUCUGCUCCCGGAGAUUGAUCUUGUUUUGAAGCUGUGGAAAGAUGCUGAAUCAUGGCAAAUGCGUUGUCAAUUAUAUCUCCAAGACCUCCCUGGUCUAAAGGAGCUAGAAGGUUUCCUCCUUGCUGCUGAUGGUGCCAAGUUUAGCAUUCCAGAGCUGAACCUUCUUAAGCAACAUUACUCAAAUGGUUGCUCUUGGGUGAAUCGUGCCAAGAACAUGCUCGGAAAACUUCAUGCAAGAAGUGAUUAUCACAAUGUUGUUGAGGAGUUGACAAGCAUUUUGAAGGACGUAGAAUUUUUGGGAGUAAAAGGCAUGCUGUUUGAUGAAUUGCCGAUUAUUGAAAAAGAACUAAAGAGGUCCUUAUGUAGGAAGCAAGCAUCUGAGGCACUUGCAACAGUAAUGUCAUUGGAGGUGAUUGAAGAAGUUUUGAAAGAAGCUUCCAUAUUAACUAUUGAAGAGGAACAAUCAUUUCUUGAUCUGUCUCGGAUGCUCAAAGAGGCCACCGCUUGGGAAGAGAAGGCUAGACUUAUUCUUGAGCAAUCGGCUUCUCUCACUGAGUAUGAGGACCAUAUGCGGUGCUCAGAGGAUAUAAGAGUUAUACUUCCAACUGAACCGCGUUUGAAAGCAGAGAUUGAUAUUGCUAAGUUGUGGGUAGAUAAAUGUCAGUCCUAUUUGAGACCCAGGUGCAAUAAACUUGCAUUUGGAGGCAUGCUUAAAGUUGAGGAUAUCAAGGAAUUAAUCAAUCAAGCUGCAACUCUGAAAGUCAUUCUUGACACAUCAGCACUUAAUUCUGUUCUCAACAUUGUUGAAAAUUGGGAAGGCAAUUCACUGAGUCUACUAAGCAAUUUGAGAACCUUACUUCAAUUGAAUCAUAUUGGCUACACAGUUGACCCACUUAAAAGAAAUUUGGAGGAGCUGCAAGAUAAAAUGAAUACAGAAAUUGAAAGUGGAUUGUCUCUUGGUUUUGAGUUCAGGGUUCUUGAUGAACUGAAGGAUUCUUUGUUGCUACUAAGAUGGAUAUUGGAUGCACUGUCUCUGUGCUGCGUGAUUCCUUCAUUGCAGGAUGUUGAUAGAUUAAUUGAAGCAGCAGUCCACCUUCCUGGCGCCUUAUUAGAAUGUUCUUUGGUUACAUUGUUGAUGAGGGGAUUUUCUUGUCUAAGAAAAGCACUUACUUUGCUUCCUGAUCCUGAAACAUCUGCAAAACCCAAACUGGAAGAUGUUGAAAAUAUUUUAGCUGAAUUCAAGGAGAUUGACGUUCCAUAUCCUAUAAUAACUGCCAAGCUUGAGGAUGCUGUUAACAAGCAUACUUCAUGGACAGAGCAAUGUAAUAACUUCUUCAUGUUGCCUGAUGGUCAGUCUUGGGCUAGGCUGCUAAGUCUGAGAGACAAUGGUCAGUCUAUUGCAUUUCAUUGCCCUGAGAUGGAUAAAGUUUUUGUUGAGGUUAAAAAGGUUGAAGAGUGGCUCAAUCAGUGCCACUGCACACUACUUCUAGAUGGUGAUAAUAGUUCUUCUUUGCUCUCCAUACUUUCAAAGAGAAGAGGAUCAUUGGAUAAUGUUUGCAUGUUGUAUGCUAAGAAUUGCGUGAAGAAAGGAUUCUGUGCCAUAUGUUCAUGUGACAUGGGAGGUAGUCUGGCCACUAGAUGCGUGACUUGUCAAGACUGGUACCAUGACUCAUGCGUGGAAAACUUGCCCAUGUCUACACAAAUGACAAGUGAAUGGAUUUGUCCAUUUUGCUCACUUUUGCAAAGUGAGGAUCUAUUAGAGAACCAAAUACAUGUAAAGAUGUCUAAAGGGAACUGUCCUGCACUUACUGCACUUAAUGAACUCCUUUCUUCUGCAAAGGGUUUCUACACGGGGAUUGAGGAAAUUAAUUUGCUAGAAGAAAUUGUCCAGAAGGCAUGUAACUUGAAUGCCUAUUUAAUGCAAAUUUUAAAUGAUUCUGACUCUUAUCAUGGAGAAGACCUUACUGUCAUUUGCAAAUCUCUUCUAGUUGCUCUCAAGGCGACAUCAGCUUCUGGCUUGUACAAUCACCUUCUCAGUGGCAAAAUUGAGUUGGUGUUGAGCAGAUAUUUGUGGAAGAACCAAAUACAUAAACUCUUGUUUGGUGGUAAAAAGACAUCGAUCAAAGAAGUACUGCGCCUCGAUAAGGAGGUAAUACGGUUUUUAUUUUGUGUUAAAAAAAGGAAGCUAUAGUUGUCUUGUAAAGUCAUCUCUAGGUUGUUAAGUACGGAUAGGACUUUUCCAAUCAGAUUGAUACCGGUGCAGCAAACUGAGAUGCAGAGGAAAUAAGAGCAUUAAAGUAUGCCAUUUACAGUUGUGUUCACCAUGUGGAAUGAAUCCUAAACAUGUUAGCUUUAUUGAUCUGAGAAUAACAAAGAUCUAAUCUAGUUCGCCCUUGGAAGAGGCCCUGAACCUUGAAGAUCCCAUCCUUGCGUGCCUAACACAAUCAACUAACCGGCUUAUAUUCUGCCGCUGCUAACAAAUAACUAACAACCUGGGACUGGAUGGAACCAUCCAACUUAUGCUAACCUCCUGCCAAAAUCUGAACCGUUCCCCUCGUAAGCAUCCGGAGCUAUUGCCAGCUUAUCGGCGCACUUCCUGCGCUAAUAGGUACACCCAAUUAAGGCAUCUACAACAUAAACACUAAAACCUUAAACAUGUGCUGUCAAUUUAUUGAAUCAAACUUGCCUGGUACUUUUAUUGCUAAACUGAUAUUUUCAGGGUUCACGUUUAGAAAUAUGUGAUCAAGAUUUCUUCAAGUUGGAGAUUAGCAAAAUUAAGGAAAGCAGUCUGCAGUGGUUGGCAAAAGCAGAGAAGGUUAAAUCUGAUUCUGGUGUGCUUGCACUAGAUCUUGUACAUGGACUUAUAGCUGAAGGGGAAAACCUCUGUGUACAUUUUGAGAAGGAACUAAAGUUAUUGAGAGAUCGCAGUGUUCUCUAUUGCAUUUGCCGGAAGCCCUAUGAUAACAGGGCCAUGAUUGCAUGCGAUCAGUGUGAUGAGUGGUACCAUUUUGAUUGCAUCAAUUUGCUUGGACCCCCUCCAGAGACCUUCUUCUGCCCAGCUUGCCAUCCAAAUAAUGGUGAAGUGUCUAUAUCGCUUCCACGCACAGACCAUGAUGAGGACAGAUCAAGCACAGGAAGUGGAUGUCCUCACACUCCCCCAGCAUCUUGUCAUGAACCAGCAAGAGUGGUGGUGGCUAACAAGUGUAAGAAACGAGAGAAAUCCCAGAUCAGGGCUGACUUAACAAAAAUCCUGCGCUGCCAUGGCAAAAUUGAUAGUUCGUGGAGGGAGAGCAAAAGGGUUCCUCAUCGAACAGCUAGAAGGCGCAGUAGUUUUGUUGGAUUGUUAUGAUAUGAAAGCGCUGAAUCUGCCCGUCCAACCUAGGUCUUUAUCUCCCACAUUGUAGAUUGAUUCUUUUAGUUAGAAGCAAUCAAUCCAGGAGUUGUUGUUGCCCGUUUAAUUUGUUGCCUGCCAUUGCCAGGGUGGGAGGGAGGGAAUCAAUCCAGGAGCUAUUUUGUCCGUUUAAUUUGUUGCCUGCCACUGCCAGGGAGGGGAGGGGAGGGAGGGAGAAUCCAACAUUCGUUCAUUCAUUGCUGUUAAGUGUUCUUGUUUCUUACUGUAAUUGUAAUGUUUGCCUAUGAGCCAAGUGGAUAGACAAACCGGAGAAGGAUGAUGACUGCUUCUGCUGUGAGUCGCUCAAAAAGAAAUAUCUGGGCAGAAGAGCAUUUUUCAGCCUACCAAAUUGUCUGGGUCAGUUCUGGGUUCUGGGGUGAGCUAUAUUGGAGAUUAGGAAGGGUACCAGUUUGGCAGAGUGGUACAGAUUUGCGUAGUACUCACACAAGGUUCUGGGAGGAUACAUGGAUAGGCGAGUGUGCUUUGAAGAUUCAGUUCUUCAUAUUGUAUCAAAUUUGUUCCAACAAUAAUUAGAUCUCAGUAUGGAAGCAUAUGAUGGAGGUUGCUGCAACUAGGUUUUAGAAGAUUCUUUAGCCCUUUUGAACCAGCAGAUUGGUAUGAGUUACAAAUACAGUUACGAGGGAUUGCAAUGCGAUGCAAAAUAAAGUAGGGUACUAUAAAAAAAA